UGGCGGACGGGUGAGUAACGCGUGGAUAACCUGCCCCAUACCGGGGGAUAACAGCCGGAAACGGCUGCUAAUACCGCAUAAGCGCACGAGGCUGCAUGGCCCUGUGUGAAAAACUCCGGUGGUAUGGGAUGGAUCCGCGUCUGAUUAGCUGGUUGGUGAGGUAACGGCCCACCAAGGCGACGAUCAGUAGCCGACCUGAGAGGGUGACCGGCCACAUUGGGACUGAGACACGGCCCAAACUCCUACGGGAGGCAGCAG
rnacentral:rRNA from 1 species